rnacentral:other from 1 species
GGUGUCGUACUGCAAUCAAACCUCAAACUCAAACUUUUAAUUGAAAAACCCCUCGACAUCUG